UGCAGUCGAGCGAUGGAUGUGGCUUGCUCCUUGGAUUAGUGGGGAACGGAUGAGUAACACGUGAAUAACCUGCCCUUAAUUUUGGAUUAACCCAGGGAAACCUGGGCUACUACCGGAUAAAUCAACCUGUGGAAUCACAUGGUUUUGGAAAGUUUUUCUAUUAAAGAUGGAUUCGCGGCCUAUCUGCUUGUUGGUGAGGUAAUGGCUCACCAAUGCGACGACGGGUAGCCGGCCUGAGAGGGUGAACGGCCACACUGGGACUGAGACACGGCCCAGACUCCUACGGGAGGCAGCCCUGGGGAAUAUUGCACAAUGGACGAAAGUCUGACCCAGCGACGCCUCGUGAGGGACGAAGGUCUUCGGAUUGUAAACCUCUUUCAUUCGGAACGAAGCGAAAGUGACGGUACCUGCAAAAGAAGCACCGGCUAACUAUGUGCCAUUGACCGCGGUAAUACAUAAGGUGCAAGCGUUGUCCGGAUUUAUUGCCCGUAAAGAGUUCGUAUGCGGUUUCUCGCGUCGAAUGUGAAAACUCAAGGCUCAACCCUGAGCCUGUUUUCGAUACAGGGAAACUUGAGGACGGCAGGGGAGACUGGAACUCCUGGUGUAGCGGUGGAAUGCGCAGAUGUCAAGA
rnacentral:rRNA from 1 species